rnacentral:rRNA from 1 species
UACGAAGGGUGCAAGCGUUAGUCGGAAUUACUGGGCGUAAAGCGUGCGUAGGCGGUCUCUUAAGUCCGUUGUGAAAGCCCUGGGCUCAACCUGGGAACUGCAGUGGAUACUGAGAAGCUAGAGUGUGUCAGAGGAUGGUGGAAUUCCCGGUGUAGCGGUGAAAUGCGUAGAUAUCGGAAGGAACGCCGGUGGCGAAAGCGAACGUGCUGGACCUCUUCUGACGCUGGAGGCGCGAAAGCUAGGGGAGCAAACGGG